CCCGUAAAUUAUUCAAAGCCAAGAAUAGACGUUGAGCAGACUGGGCGCCUGGGCCAAUCCCUGCACCAGAGAUGGCGCCUCUGGGUCGGCUCCGGCCGGGCGCACACGGCUCCGCCGCCCCUUCCGCAGCUUUGGGCUCACAGCCGUCCUCACCGCAGGCCGCACGCAACAGGCCUCGGAUGCGGACGCCGCCCGCCCGGGUUUCUCUUUCUCCUAGGACUCGCCCGAGAGGCCUAGGCCGCGAGCCCCGAGCUCGAGUUUCGGACGCCCCACCUAGGCGCCGCGGCCCCUCGCGCACGCUUACCUUCUGAAGGUACAAAAUUGGAAAGAGCUGUGAAGAUUAAAAGAAAUGUAAGUGCCGUGGAGCAACUAGGCCCGUGAGCCACAACUACUGAGCCUGCGCGUCUGGAGCCUGUGCUCCGCAACAGUGAGAGGCCUGCGCACCGCGAUGAAGAGUGGCCCCUGCUCGCCGCAACUAAAGCCCUUGCACAGAAACAAAAACCCACCACAGCCAAAAAUAGAUAAAUAAAUAAAUAAAAUUAAAAAAAAGAAAUGUUAGAAUUUUCUAUAAUAUAUACUGUGUUCUAGUAGAAAAAAGAAGUAUUAUUAGGUUGAGGUAAA